AUGCUGGUUCAGGCUGAUGUGUGCGUGCAUCGCCAAACAAAGAAGCAGGCAUCCACUAGGAAAAAUAUUCAUCGAAGUUCUCAAGUUGAAGUCAAAUUGAUCAGCUACGUUUCAAAGUAUGAGAUGUGGCUCGACGGUAUUUACAUCGCCAAUGCCAAGCGAACCGAGUUCACUAAAAGCAACAAGCAGGGCAGGGUCAAAGUCAUUAUGUUCACCAUGAUGCAGAUUGCCAUCACAUUCAGACCCAAAGAUCUGGAAACUAUGAACUUGAUUAAAAGGGCAGGGUCAAAGUCAAGACCCGGGUUAGUGGCAUGA
rnacentral:rRNA from 1 species